UUGAUUUUUGAGUGCCGCUGCCGAUGCAGAUUAUUUUCAGAGAAAAAUUACGAUUACGAUUUAAUCGGCCGAUUUAAAAAAAAUAAAUAAAAAAAAUAUAUAUAAAACGUAGUUUUUGAUACCUUAAAUAUACUUUAAACACUUUUGACGAAUAUGUGAAUUGAAUGCAGAAUCUUGCAUUCAAUGCAGUGUUUUAGAAUACAUUUACAGUCAAAAAUGAGUGUAAUGUAAAAUGUAAAAUAAAUAACUAACUCCCAAUGUGCUGCGCUCGUGAGCAGUGACUAACACGUGCGUGCUGAGCAGUAUGGUCUCACCGUUAGAGUCUACAGUAUAACAAAUGAACAUGGCCUGGGACCUAAAGAAAAACAGGCACAACAUGCUCAAACAACGCGUCUUGUGUACAUUGGUGAGGUGAGCGCUCAGCUGCCUGAGCGAGCGUGCUUUCAUGUUGUACGGUAAAAUUCAAUCUCCUCUUUUUUACUCCAGCUAAAGUUGUUAGUUAGCAAGGCGAGUAGGAGCGCAAUCUGCAGGAUACUAAUCGCAAUAACAUUUAUAAUAAAAAAUAAAAUAAAAUCGGCUAUAAUCGGCCGAUUAAAUCGGCAGGCCGAUAAAUCGGUCAGGCCCUAGUCUUAGGAAUGAAUCCCGUUUGUGCACACAUGUGGUGAGGGUGGCGGCCAAACGGUUUGCAUUGAUUCUGUCCAUAAAUUCUGUCCAUUUUUCCAAAAUAAAGUGGAAUCAAUGAUGUUGUAAAAUCCCGAACCUUGAAGGAAGUUAAAAUAGAAUAUGUAUUUAGUGCAGGUAAUAAUAAAGGUGAUAAUGAAUGGAUACUACCUCCUGCAGGAGGACGAAGUAUUUACGCCACAUUAAAGCCCUCAUAACGCAUACCUUUUUGAGAUACUUUGUGGUCUCGCUUGGCGCUCUUAUCCAAGCGACAUCGAGGUGUGGCUGACCACUAGUAGAUGAGGGGGUGGGGGGCAGGGCACGGUGCAGCGCAAUCUAGAAAGAUCUGCUUGAAAUAAAUAGCUAUGACGCCAUCACUGAGCCUGUUGACACCCAUCAACGCGUCGGCUCGGCCAACGCAUCGGCACGUCUUUCACAAACAAAUGUUGCAUACUACUAAUCUUUUCUUUACUAUGGUUCCCUUCAUUCUUCCCUUAACCUACAAAA